GCAACGCGAAAAACCUUACCUACCCUUGACAUGCUAGGAAGCCCGCAGAGAUGUGGGCGUGCCCGAAAGGGAACCUAGACACAGGUGCUGCAUGGCUGUCGUCAGCUCGUGUCGUGAGAUGUUGGGUUAAGUCCCGCAACGAGCGCAACCCUUGCCAUUAGUUGCUACAUUCAGUUGGGCACUCUAAUGGGACCGCCGGUGACAAACCGGAGGAAGGUGGGGAUGACGUCAAGUCCUCAUGGCCCUUAUGGGUAGGGCUUCACACGUAAUACAAUGGUCGGUACAGAGGGCUGCCAACCCGCAAGGGGGAGCUAAUCCCAGAAAGCCGAUCGUAGUCCGGAUUGUAGUCUGCAACUCGACUGCAUGAAGCCGGAAUCGCUAGUAAUCGCGGAUCAGCAUGUCGCGGUGAAUACGUUCCCGGGUCUUGUACACACCGCCCGUCACACCAUGGGAGUGGGUUCCACC
rnacentral:rRNA from 1 species